GAAAAGACGCUCCUGGACCAGAGGAGGAGGCAGACAUUGUAGAAGUGUACCUUCUCUUUUGCAGUAAUAUCAUGUCCUUGUUUGAGGAGGUGGUGAAGAAGCUGGAGACAAACGUAACUUCGUCUGUUGACCUUUAUUGCAUCAUGGAAUCCUUUCUGAGGAGACUAAUUCAGAGAAGAGAUGAUGGUUUCUACGGUUAUCUCACACGACAGAGGCUCCAGCAUCUCUCACCAUCUGAAGCUGAUGUUGCCAAGCAGGAGUUUACUGCCUUCUUAAACACUGCCAUUAGUUACAUCCAGAAGUGGUUUGACUUUUCAGAGGAAAACUGGCUUUUUCACCUGCAGCCCCUCUCUUUAGAGUCUGGGAAGAUAUCUUUUGAUGAGAUGGAGAAGAUCACUGAGCGGCUUCACAUGGUUAAUAGACUUAACAUCUCCAUGGACAGCCUCUAUGAAGAAUGCAUGACCACAAAUAACCUUCUUGCACACCUCACCACAGUGGCCCAAGAAAAGGAACAGUGGCAACGCAAGGGAACAGCAGAGAGGUGGAUGCAAGUUCUUCAGGCAACUGAUCUCCCCAACAUUCAGGCUGUUGUAUCCUUUGUCCUCAGCAUCCCAUCUUCCACUGGGUUUGUAGAAAGGAUUUUCUCCUUCAUGAAAAGCAAAUGGACAGAUGUGCGGAACAAAUGUUCCAUUGAACUUAUUAGGAGUGAGCUUAUUGUCAGCCUCAAUUAUGACAUGUCUUGCUCAGAGUUUUACUCUGCAGCACUGAAAGACAAACAGCUCCUUGCUGCAGCAAGAAGUCAAAAGAAAUACCAGUGGAAAAAGUAGGUUAUGUACCACUGAGCUCUUAGGAUCCCAAGGUCAUUCACAUUUCUGUUUCAAUACAAAUGAACAUUCCAGGCAUUUCAGGUAAAAAGGUUUUUUUUGGCACAGUGCAAUGGUUCUUUGAAAUUGUCUUUACCAUUUUGUACAUUAACAGUCCUGUAUUGCACACUGUUUUAAGUUAAAGAGGACUAUUUUUUCUUAAGAGAAACCUUUUUUGCAUUUUGCACAUUCAGUCUUCAUAUCCCACUGUUUUUAGAACACGAGGACAAUUCAUUAUUUAAAGG
rnacentral:lncRNA from 1 species